UUCCUAGUCAAAUAUGCCCUGUCACUAAUUUUUAAUCUUGCUCCUGGUUCACAGUGAUCUUUCUGUUUGAUCAUGCUACCUUUCGUAAUUGAUGUCCUCAGUUUUUGUUUUUGCUGUACGUGAGAGCGAUUAGACUCAUGGUUCCCUGUAUGUGAACAAUGGAUGCACAUAUGGGCCUAGAUUUUGAGAAGGUCCAUGCAGCAUGGGGCUGAAUUCUGUAUAGGCUCUUCUUGAAUGGGACUUAGACCAAUCUAGAGCCGAAGUUUCUUUUUGACUGACAAUCUGAUUGUCUGGAUUGGGUCUCUCCAUGCUAUACCUGUGCAUUAAUACAAUAGCUAUAUAAAUGCAAUGCGGCUUAAACAGCCCACUUAAAAUUAAUUUUUGUAAUUAAAAGCUUGGAUGUCAAUACUAGUCGGAAACCUACAUAAUUAAUAUUAUAUGUUAUCCUGGCCUUGCCUGAUCUAGAAAUAUUAAGCUACAAUAUGCUUUUUGCUUAGAUCAAGACAAUGAAAAGUCCAUAUUAGGCAGAAAACUAUUUUGCUGCCCCUUUAGGUAGAUAUGCACCAGGUUAACCUGAGAUUUGAUCUUGAUGAUGUGUGUCCCAUCUGGGAUGCUGGGCUUGGACCACAUAUUAGGCCAAUGGAGGACAAGGUUCCACUUAAUUUCAUAAAAUGCUAUAGUGGGCCAUUCAUGCAGAUUGUGACCAGGAAAGAGGAUUUAUAGGAAUUAUGCAUAUAAUAUGUUUCUAUCAGUUACUGAUUUGGAUUUUUAUUUUUGCACUUGAUGUGCAGAUUGAGAACUACAAUGAGCCUUUUCUUAAUGCCUUAAAUGAAUAUAAUGAUGGAAGAGCUCUAUGAAAUCAGUUACAGAGUGAUGGUUUCAAAAGUCCUCAUGAUGAUUCCAACAAUAGGAAACUUGCAUUCAGCAUCAUUCUAUUGCAGAGAAGUAUGUGCAGGUGUUGAUCAAAAUUGAUUUCUUACAUGUUGCUGAUUUUGGGCCUUGCAAGUUGUCUGAUUUUGGGUCUUGCAGGUUGUUGGCUAACAACAUCAACUGAAGUUGGAAAUUUGCCAGAUCCAACUCAUACUACUCGACCAUUUUGUUACCUAUUUGUGCAUAUGUUUGAUCUUUUGAAGAAUCAGUGUUUGUAUUUUUUGAUGUCAGCAAUUUCCUAUAAUGAUAGUUAGGACAUUAUAGAUCUAUGUUAUAGAUUAUUGUAUGUAUUGACAAAUUUAUAUUUACAAUUAGAAGUAUUUGGAUGUUAUUCACUUGCAAUACGUCAAGUUUGAUUGAUUUUGUGGAUUCUUAGUUACAAAGAGAUGAUAUAUCAGUGGAAAUA